GACGAACGCUGGCGGCGUGCUUAACACAUGCAAGUCGAACGGAAAGGCCCUGCUUUUGUUGGGUGCUCGAGUGGCGAACGGGUGAGUAACACGUGUGUAAACUGCCCUUGACUUUGGGAUAACUUCUGGAAACUGGGGCUAAUACCGGAUAGGAGCUCCUGCUGCAUGGUGGGGGUUGGAAAGUUUCGGCGGUGGGGGAUGGACUCGCGGCUUAUCAGCUUGUUGGUGGGGUAGUGGCUUACCAAGGCUUUGACGGGUAGCCGGCCUGGGAGGGGGACCGGCCACAUUGGGACUGAGAUACGGCGCAGACUCCUACGGGAGGCAGCAGUGGGGAAUAUUGCACAAUGGGCGGAAGCCUGAUGCAGCAACGCCGCGUGCGGGAUGACGGCCUUCGGGUUGUAAACCGCUUUCGCCUGUGACGAAGCGUGAGUGACGGUAAUGGGUAAAGAAGCACCGGCUAACUACGUG
rnacentral:rRNA from 1 species